UCUUAACUCGUUGGGUACGUGACCACACAGUUUAAUUCUGGGGAAAUCUUACUCUUUUAAAGUUAAUUUAAGGUACUCUUCAGACUAAGUUAGCAUUUUUCCUGCCCCAAGCACAUGUGUUCUUUUAAUGGGACUUACACACAGUCCAGCAAUUUGAAGGAGUAAGUCCCCCUCCUUGCCUGACAUGUUGCGUCAUAUUAAUACUGAAUUUUAGAUGUGAACUAUUUUAGUGGCCCAUUUUCUAAGCCAUUCAUCAUCAGGAGUCUGCCCAAAGUUAGUACAUUUUAUUCUGUAUUUAAUAAAACUCUCAGGUUUUCUCUCUUGGAAAGCAGUAAUGCAAACAGGUCGGGGCACAUUAGUUCUGUGGGCUAGGCAAGUGUCUCUGUACUGAAGGCCUUCUGGGCAUUAGAAUGGUCUGUCUGUCAGGAAGCAAACAAGAAGAAUCAGAACCCAUUUCUUUACCCAGGAAAGAACAGUGAUUUUUUUAAACUUCUAAGCAUUUGGUUGUUGUGUGAUGUUGUUUAAUCCUAAAGAGAAAUCUCCAGGAUAACACAGGGAGAGCACAGUACAGACAGGAUAAGCAUGAGAGGGAAGCAGGGGCUUGCAAGGGCAUAAUAUCCAGGUGCAGUGCCUCUGUCUGUGUAGCUUUACACAAAGCCAGCUUUACACACAUUACCUUCCCCAAUCUUCUGACCCAGAUCUGGGGCUGGAGAGGUGAGUCUGUCGUUAGAGCAUUUCUACUCUUUCAGGGGACUGGAGUUUAGCAUGAACAUCAAAAAGCUCACGGCCUGGAGCUUGAGUUCUACAGGAUCCAGUGUUCUCUUCUGGCCUCGUCAGGCACUCGCAGGCACACAGAUGUAACCCUGCGCAGACACACACUCAUAAACUAAGCCUUUUAAAAAAGAAAUAGGCUCAUAUUGGAAAGUCUCGUGAGUGUAUCAGUCAGAAUCCAGAGCAAGAGGAAAUUUCUGCAAGUAAUUUAGUACCUGGAGUUAGUUAUGGAAAUGACAGAAAUCCUAAGAAGCCUCCUGGAAUAAAUCAGUAAGCAAUGAACACAUCGGUCCUGAAAGGAUUCUACAGACUAGAUCCUUGCACAGGCUCCUUCUGUGGUCUUGCCAUCCAUCCAUCACGGGCCUCACCAUGGCCAGGCUCUGGAGUCAAAUAGACCUCCUUUAUUUAAUGAAACAACUAGCUGCAGAUGUUCUGGAUAUCAGCACAAAAUGUACUCAGUCACAUCAUGUCAUGCUAACUACCCGGACCCAAGCAUGACAGAGAAAUGGCAUUUUCCAAGAUGGGGAGUAGACUGAGAGACGGUGACGGAUCUGAAGUCGGGCGAAAUGGCCAGUGGGCAAGCAUGUGCUGACCACAGUGUUCCACUCCAAAUCCCAAGCAUGCUACAUGGUGUAGCAUGGAAACUCAGUCUCCUAUUUUUUCUUUUGGGUCUGUCUCAGUAAUUUUUCUACUCUGCUGCAGUUAGAACUGGGUGGUAAGCAGAGAUCUAUCUGCAGGACCAGAGGAAGGAGGUGUGGCUAGGGGAGACGCUGCACACCCAAUUCCAGCCAGGGGAGGCGCUGCAUACCUGAUUCCAUAUAAAUCCAUCCAAAACGUUAUGACUGGAGUGCUUUGUAUCUUUCUAAAGGAGUAUUCCUUUCGACAAGUCUAUUGUUUAACAAAAAUUAAAGAAAGGAAAGAAGGGAGGGGAAGAGUGAAAGGGCCAGAGAAAGGGAGAAAGGAAGAUGUGAAAGAAAAAUGCCCCAGCCCUUAGCUCCUCACUCUUCCCAGGAUGCCUUUCAGGGCUCACAGGGUACAAAGAGAGACGGGCUCUGGAAUGGCAUCUUACCUAGCAAGGAGCAGAGCAGAUGUGGCUCGAACAGAGAAAGCCUGCGGUGUGGCAAACCUCUGUGGCACUCUGCUUACGCUGGGGUUCCCUGCUAAUGUUCCCCUUGGGCCCUCCAGAUGCCUUGGGGCCCAGUAGACACACUCUAGGACAUUUCCAGGAAGCUAGUGAGGAGGCAGGGUCUGCCUUCUGCCGCUGCUGGUGGUGUGAGCAUGCCUUUCACCAAGCCCCUAUCAGGAUCUUGCUAACCACAUGCCACUUUUCUCAGCCCACUAAUGCUCAGGAGAUCUAAACUAGAGUAUCCGAGGGCUAGUCUUGCUACAGACUUUCCGUAUCUAAGCCCUAUAGGCCUAGAGUCUGAUCUGGAUGGUGUCAUAUAAUCUCUUCCAAUCACCAGUACAGAGGACAGAUUUAGAGAUUAAAUUAUUGGUCCAGAGCAUCUUGGCCAGGAAGCCCAGGAAUAUGGCUUGAACUUACUUCUUUGCAUGCAAGUGUUCAAUGUACCAUACUGCCUCAGACAGCCCAGGGCCAGAGCAGUGGCCCGGAACAGAGCAGUGAAUACUUCCCCAUUCAUAGCAGGAUCUCAGAUUGACAGACCAUCUUUGGUGUGGUAUCUCAAGACCACAGUCAGAGCUCUGGACACCCAGGAGUUGAGGACAACAUUCAUAUCUCCUGGGGAUCUAGCCAGUGUCAGACAGGUAAGUGUACCUGUGAUGACCAAGACUACUGUGGCACAGUCCUCGAGCCCCUCAGACUAGCCUCCACCUUCCAUCAGGAAGAUUUGUCUCCCUGUCUCUUCUCAUUUAGGGAGCCGUAUCUUCUUCCUACAGCUUAUUGUGUGUCACUUAUCAGGACUAAUCUGAAAUCAUUCCAAAAUAAGCCUCCCAAACUAGCCUUCAUAUCAGGUGUCUGGAGGAGAACAGAAAUGGUUUGAUUUCAGUUUUAAAGCAUUUCUUCAUGCGCCUCACUGACUGCAAACUGACACAUCGACUGACUUAAAGGUUAUGGAUCAGUAGGUAAAUGUAGAAAUUCUAUUAGUUUCCAGACGUGGGAUUUAUGCCAUUCAUUUUAAAUGAAAUCAAAAUCCUACAGAGAAAUAGGAACAGCAAACCCCACCAUAGACAGAUCUGUUCUUAACAGCAUCUAUUUACUUACUCCCCGGGGCCCAGAAGGUGGGCACCGCUGUAUCGCGUUCAUCGACUUUGACAAAGACAGCAAACAGCACAUGGAGAACACACACAUUUUGAGAGAAUAUUAAAACAUGGAUUAAUGUAACAUUAUAAAAUACAAAGCCUCUUACUUAAAGAGAGAGAGGAAUUAGAUGUCUACUGUGCUUAAUGAAACUGUAGUGGGUGUCUAUAAAUCUAAAGUCCUUACCUUAACCUGAGUUUAAAAUAAUGGGCUCGCUUGACAGUGCUUUACAGAUCCUAGUGCUGAGCAAUAUCACCGACGACCGGAAUGAAAGAUAACGGAACAGCGGAGAGGCGGAGCAACAGCAGAGAGGCGGAGCCUACUGGGAUGUGUACACAGAGCUACGGGAGACAAUAUUUCUUCUUCAUAAUACAAAGAAAACACAGUUGCAAAACUCAGAGUUUAUCCCAUUUGUUUGGAAGAGAGGACCAGGUAGGUGCUUUGCUUAAAAAGACCGUAGCCCACUCUUGGAAAGCAUGAAGGAGAACGAACACACAUAAGAGGUAGUAUUCACUCCACGAUGCAAGAAGGUAGAUGGAUUUUAAGUCCACAGCAGUAAUUAAAUUUCAGUGUUGACACAGGACAUCUCUACACCCAGGGCUCUAAAUAAAGUUUAUGCAGUGCCUGUGGGCAAAACAUAGCCUACACGGAUAUUUUUCUCAGGAGCCAAGACUCUUUUUGCUGCAUGCCCAGAAAGCAAAAGUAGAGCUGAGGACAGAUCCAACCAUGAUACAAAAGCGUAACAAGAAAUAUUCCUAAAUAUUUGAAAUUCUGUGGGAGCCUCAUCUGAGGUGAGAAUGUUAAAUCAUUUGGGGAGGAGAACCUUUCCUACAAAGGAAAUUAACUGGAAGGCAAAUAUUUGAAACAGACGGAAAUAGAAUAGGUGAACUAACUUUUGAGCUGAGGCAGGGCUGUCUGGGCCCGAUUUCCCAAAGCCAUGGUAGACUUGAGAGAGAAGAAAUGAUAUCAGAAGGGGCAGAUUCUUUUUCUGUCACAGGAGGAAAACAGCACCUUCAAAGGAGGCCUGCUUCCUGAUGGGACUGAACCUCUUCUGCGAGUCUCAGAGAUGACGUCACUGCUCAAGCUCUCCCCCUGCUGGGGGAGGCUGAGAAGUGCUCCUGUGCCUUACAUUGCCAGGGUGUCCUCAGGCAUUCAUAGUUUGUUAGUGAGCUCAGGUUAAGCAUGCUGGGGUAACAAAUGACUCAAGUCCUGGGUGACUUAUAACAAUUUAUUUCUGGCUAUGUCCUUGGGAUAACGGUUGGUUAGAUAGAUGGGCUUCCUGUUUCUGACAUCCAGGCUCAUGCAAUGUUCAUAUUUGGCAUAGUACCAACCUCACAAUGGAGGGGGAAAAGCACUGUAAGGAUAGUAAUACAGCGUCCGAGUGUGGUCUGGGACGUAGCUCAAUGGGAAGGUGCUUGCUCAGCAGGCACAAGGCCCGGGGUUCAAUCCCUAGGACAGGAAAAAAUAUUUUACGUUCAAUCCAGUGAUAUCUGUCACUGAUGGAUAUCACACUCCCCAGGGCUGUCCUCACUCAGGGCACUCCUUUUAGGAAUGGGCUACUACCUAAUUUAAAAUUUGAGGUUGUUGUUAGCAUUUUGAUAUUUGAAAAUCAGGCAUGACUACCAACGCUGAACAAAAGGACUGCUAUGCCUUGGUGUCUCCAAGGACAGUUUAUGGAAACCUAAAGUUGUGAAAUCAUAGUUUAAAAAAAAAUUCCACUGAACAUCAAGACUGAAUGAUGAUCAAGCAUUGGGCUUUACAUCACCAUUGGUUAUUGACAGCUUCACAAACUUACAAAUACACCAUUCAUUCAUUCAUUCACUCACUCAUUCAUUCAUUCAUUCAUUCACUCACCUGCUCACCCAUUCCUAUAACAUCUGUGAAUACAGCCCACCCUGGAAGUGAUGUCUGAUGUCUCAGUUCUGUAUUCAGUAUCUGACAUCACUCCACAUCAGCAACACAGAUCCUGGCUUUCCCAUUUACUGCCUCUGAGACCUUGGGCCAGCUCUCCAGCCUCUGUAAUUUUCCAAAUACUUAACGCAGAGACAAUAUAAGUAACUACCCCAUAGGUUUGUUAUAAAGAUGUCUGGAGAUAAUGAAAAGCACUUUAUUGUGCCUGCAUAGUAAGAGCCCCAUAAACAUAAGUCAAUGCUGCUCUGCACAGCUGGGGCCAGACUCCAGACUCGAUGCUAGCAUGGAGGUGAGGAAGACACGCUGGCUUGUACAAUCUCAUCUACAAAAUACCUGGACAUCUUCCUCAUAGAAGCUUAAGGUGAGUCAACACUGUAAUACAGCCUUUUCAAAAGCUAAAGCCAACUCAAACAAUAGAGGGAAAAUGCUGUGAGAAAACCAAUUCCAUUUCUCUGUUCCUGAUCAGAACCCACCUAGAACGUAGAGGUGUGCAGUGUGCUACGGGGACUCCUCUCCUCACGUCUGUGCAGUGUGCUACGGGGACUCCUCUCCUCACGUCUGUGCAGUGUGCUACGGGGACUCCUCUCCUCACAUCUGUGCAGUGUGCUACGGGGACUCCUCUCCUCACGUCUGUGCAGUGUGCUACGGGGACUCCUCUCCUCACGUCUGUGCAGUGUGCUACGGGGACUCCUCUCCUCACGUCUGGCCCUAAGGAUGUGGCCCACAGGAAGAUGCGUCCCUGACCUGGCAGUGCCAGGCUUUCUUCUAUGUUAUUAAGUAAGUAGAAGCUACGACACAUACUAACCUUAGCUGCUUCUAGAAAUUUCUCUGACAAAUGUUGGGCAAUUCUGCAGGGAUGCCUUGCGAUGCCCUUCAGAAUGUCAGGAAGACUUAGACCCUAAUUUCCUGCUAGUCUUCCCCAUCUGUUACCCUGACCUUUUCUUCAGAGGGCCCUCAGCUGCUGGGAACCCUGUGUGUUAUCACCAGCAGGAUCUGCUUCCUGUGUGUCUUGGCCUCCCUCACAGCGAGCUACCCCUUACAUACAUUUCGCCUAACGUUAGGGCUUCAAACAGUUCACUAGAUCACAAAAAUACAUGGCAGAAAGAGAGGCUCCUGAGGGCAUGUGAAACACAUUGCUGAGCACUUUCAGCUCAGUGUGACAAAGGGGAGUGUUCACUGGCUGCCACAAGUCUGCCAUAUGGGCUCAAAGGUCUGCUGCCUGGAAGCUGCUGGAAUAGCCUACCUCGUGAGUUCUCAUCAGCAGAGAGGGCAUGGGCACUCUAGUGCCCCCCCACCCCCAAUAUUAACAGCAUGUUCCAAUGAAAUGUUCCUCCAACACAUAGGUAUUUCUUGGAGGAAAACGUUUCAUAUACAAUUACAGGUAGCAUGCACCUGUACUAAAUGGAACAUGUUAAAAUCCAGUUGUACUUCAAAAGAACAAUAACAUAUCAUCUGCUUGGGUGAUAGCUGGGUGAUGAGGGACAGAAGCAAUCUGGUCAAAUAAUCUUACAGGUCAAAAAACCUCCAGAAGACAACCAGAGCUCCUAUCAAAGCUUCUUCCAAGGGAACAGAUGCACAAAGAACAGAAAUGAAAAGAAACUUUAUGUUUGUGUAGCCUGAGGAAAAGUUUUCUUAUAUUUAAUUCUGCCCAACGGAGGAUGAGUUUACACUGUCCCAAUACGCUCUGUAGCUCUAGGAUGAUAAAUGUGGUGGCCAUUUCUUUGUCUGAGUUAAUACAUGAGGACCAGAAAUUCUUAGACAUUCCUUCCACAGAGUCGUCUGUGUCUUUCUUCUGGAGUCUAGAUGAUGUUGUCAUUGUUUAAAUAACAAAUGUGAUGGUUACUCAGUUGUUUACUUGUCACAGUCUAGAGUGGCCUGGGAAGAGUCUCAAGGAAGGAUUGUGUAGAUCAAGGUGUCCUAGGGGCAUGUAAGGGGAGUUGUCUUGAUUCCUUGUUCCCUGGGGUGGGAAGCCCUGUCUGCUGUGGGCGGCGCCAGUUCCUUGGAAAGAGGAUGCGCUUCCCCCUAUAUUGACAGACCGUAAACCUGGGGUUGUGAGCUAAACGUGACCCUUUCUACCUUUAACUGCUUUGUCGGAGCAUAUUAUCACAGCAAUGGGGAAGGAAACAAACAUACCUAGGAAUGCCUUCAUUGCUCUUUAUGACUUCGUCAGCCAGGACCUCACACUCUCGGGAACAUUUCCCGUGUGUGACUGCUUUUGUGGCGAGAGGCUCCCAGAAACCGGAGCUCCGUGGAGAGAUCGCACGUUACAAGCACAAAGGAAAUGAAGGUGUAAAUGCAAGUAUAAGUGUCUGUUUGGCCACUUAAAAGAAUAAAGAUAAUCGCUACUAAAAUUUAGCGUAGUAUUUCACGAUGACAUAAUCACGUCUCUUAUCAUCACAGCAGAGUCAGUACGCCAAACACUCCCUAUGAGCACACUGCGACCGACACACCCUCAAGCAGUGGGUUUACAUACUUACUAUUUGGUCUGGGCUUAUUCGCUAGCCCUGCCAGAACGAACAAAAGGCUUAAAGAGGUUUUAGCAAAUAACCCACAGGUUGACCAAGGAAUAGUGUCCAGGCCAGUACAUAGACAUACAUAAUGAACAACUGGAGGAACACGUCCCAGAUCUCCUAGCUCUCGAUGCCAGGAUGAAAACUGUAAUGAUUUGCCCUGAUAAGGUCUAAACCAUUUGAAAAUUAUUCAGGAGACUAAAAUACAAAUCACAUGCACCUUCACACUAACUGAUCCUAACCCAAAACGUCCACGUGCCUAAGACAAUUAAUUAGUGAUGACAGGGUAUGUACGCCUAUAUGCAGGAAGGAAGACAUUUGCCAAAAUAUGGCUUUGGCAGGAGUCAACUAUUUUAGAUCCAUGAAAUGUCAAUUUUAUGGAAUAUUCAUAUGUUCACCCUCAUUUACUGGAAGAAAAAUGUUCAAAUUUUUGGGUGUAUGAGCAAAAAUAAUUGUACAUAGACUGAUGGUCUGAGGAAGAGGAGCGUUAAGAAGCAUGGGUUUGGGACAGUGUUUAGGGAACUGUUGUUUCAUUCUGUACGCCUGCUAUGUGUAUGAAAAACUGAUACAUUAUAUGUUAUAGAAGCAUUGCCCUUUGUGUGUUACAUAAGGGGAAUGCUGGUAUCUUGAUGACUGAGAGGAACUGACUGGACCGGCAGCUACGACUCCUUCCUUGACUUCAUUCUGCAGUGAUCCAUCUAGGGAAUCAACGUUCCCUUUGAAUAAACAAAAGCUUUAAAAGAAACUAUCUUUUCAGGGUGGUUAUAGAGAAUCUCAGUGUCAGUGAGUGGAAGAUGGGGGUUGCAUGCUCCCCUUUGAGGCCACGAGGUAAUUAAAAAGCAAUAUUCAGUGGCCUUCAGAACAUCUCUCUCCAUGAAGUCUCUGCAUGAAACAACUCAGGAAAUCCAAAAUAGACAAAUCACACAAACGAAUCAGAAAGAAAAGAAAAAGAUUGAUAAAGCAACUUUAAUUCUAGUCAGCUUCUGAUCCACUAAAUUAUUUCAGUCUUUUAAGUGGAAAUUCCCUAAUACUCCAAAGCAUGAGUUUUUAUUUGUUUCUUGCAAAAGAGUCUGAAGGGCUCACAGGGAAGGGUCUUCCAUUCAAGGGAUGGUUUCCGUGAAGCCUUCUUCAAUGGCUCUGGGAAAUGUGAGCUCAACCUGUUUCUGAGAUAGCCUGUCUUGCUUAUCAGCUGAAUUAAUUCUCAUUUAUACAGCACAGAAUCAAAACCCAGAUUGUGUCUCCAAUGAAAUGGGUAACUGCUUAUUCGUCGGUUCCUUCAGCUAUUGAUUCCUCCAGCAGUUAGUCAAGUGACAGCUGAGUUUCAGGCCAGGGUGAAGACACAAAACCUCAGCAGCCUGCCACUCAUGACUAAGGACCGCCCACAGCUAAGGACCGCCCACGGCUAAGGACCACCAAAAAUUGAGUUUUCCUGUCAGAUGUUUUUGGUUCCUCUUUGAUAAUUUCCUGCAUUUGCUGUUGACUGGCAUUUGUGACCUUGAUAGAAAUAUCCAGAUGUGGGAAGCCGCCCUCACAUUUGCCAUUACAAGAUGGCGCUGACAGCUGUGUUCUAAGUAGUAAACAUAAUCUGCACACGUGCAGGGGCAGUUUUCCCGCCACGUGUUCUGCCUUUCUCGUGAUGACAACUGGGCCGAUGGGCUGCAGCCAAUCAGGGAGUAAUACGUCGUCCUAGGCGGAGGAUAAUUCUCCUUAAAAGGGACAGGGUUUUGCCAUUCUUUUUCUUGCUCUUGCUCUCUGGCUCCUGAAGAUGUAAGCAAUAAAGCUUUUGCCGCAGAAGAUUCCGGUUUGUUGUGUCUUUCCUGGCCGGUCGCGAGAAAGCGGGUAAGAUCCAGACAAAAUGACUAGGCUGAGAGCUGUGACUUUGUCAUGGGCAGCUUCGGCCACCGGGGCAGCAAUCUCUGCAUUUUGCACUACAGGAAGCAGCCAGGCUGCACAGCCACCCUGCUGUGGCUGAGCAGUGGUCUGGGGCCAUCCUUGCUCAGCACUGGCUAGUGGAUAGUGUUCUCAUGUAAGAGCUCAAGAGAGGACUCCUGACAGGAACACCAAGAUCACUUAUGUGGUUUAAAAUCCCACUGACAAGAUUGGGGGCAUUCAGGGCGGUGGCACACAACUUUAAUCUCAGCACUCAAGAGAAAGAGGCUGGUGGAUCUCUGAGUUCAAGGCCAGGUUGGUCUAUAGAGUUCCAGGACAGUCAGGGCUACAUAGAGAAACCCUGUCUCAAAAAAAAAAAAAAAAAAAAAAAAAAAAAAAAAAAAAAACACAGAUAGAUGGAUGGAUGGAUGGGAUGGAUGGAUGGACAGACAAUAGAUAGAUUUAAUAAUUUUUCUAAAAAGGAAACAUCAAUAUGUACAAUAAACCUGGGGCCAAGUCAAAACCCUGCUGCUGGGUGUAAAUGGGACUAUUACAGCAUCAUUAGACAUAAUAGUUACAAAAGAUUACAAUUCUUUAAUAAUUUCAAAUCUAUAAGCAUGCCAUUAUAUAAAAAUACUGUUGGAUAUUGACUGAGACAGUCUGAAAACUCAUUAUUUUCUAAACUUAAGUUUAUGGUUAUGGAAUUUCAUCUUCUUUUCCCCUCUGUGAACUGGAGUUUUCAGGAAAAACAUAUGCACCCAGAUAAGGAUUCUUCGAGGAUAACUGACUGCACAGGAGUUAUGGGGAGCUGGGAUGUUACAAGUCGGGAGUCAACUACCUUGGACUAUCUUAGCUUAUUAAUAGCCAAUCACUCCUCACCUCUGCUUGACCUUACAUCUGUCUUCGAGCCUACUAGGUCAAAACAUCCAUCUUCAUAAAGAUAAUGUGAGGUGUACAUGCAAAGAAGUGAAAGCGAGACAACAAAGGCAAGCAAAGUAAUGCCUCCAGCUCCUCAGACAACCGUCAGCUCCCAGGACGGUCUCUAGUUCCCUGGCGACGUGGACUGAUGACCUCCAGCUCACGAGGUGACCUCCAGCUCUUGGGAUGACAACUUCCAGCUCCCAGGAUGGCCUCUAGCUCUUGGGAUGAACUCUAGCUCCCCAGACUACUCCAGCUCCAGGAGCAGUUCCCAGGAAAAGAUAAAGGGGUCACUCCUGGCGAAGAUUACCUUUCCGGCAGAGACACAAGCAACCAGAGCCAGCCUGGCCCUCCUGGUAAAGCAGCACAGCUGCAGGAAUCCUAAUAAUUUCCAUUUCACAACGGUAAAAUCAAAGUCAGAGCAAUGGGAAGAUGAAUCACAGUACUUGGACUUAAUGCGGGAAAUUGGGGAAAACAAAGUAGACAAAGAAGAGUGAAGGCACUUAGAGUUAUUUACAUAGAACAAUUCUCCUUUUAUGUUAACCCAUCUGAUGAGCUGUGCAGCAAAUCCACAGAGGAAAAGAACUUUGCACAAAGCCACAAUUUGGUCUUUGAAUUACAAAAAUGUGUUGUUUGUCUUCUUUUGUUUCAUUGUUUCACUUUCUCUUCCUCUUAAGUUUAGGAGGCGGGAGGGUGGAGAGUUACUGCUGCUUCCGCACUCACACUGUAUCUAGACUAGCCUAGACUAAGACUUGAGCCUGCACUGGCUGGGGUCUCCCAGGUUAGGGAGGAGGGGGAAAGAAUGAUCAAAGAGCCAAGGGAUUCCAUGUGUCUGAGCUCCUAGACUCUCACAGUUCAGAAUGAAGGGAAACCAAAGGACAUCAGGAAUAAACUCCAUGAAGAGACGGAGGCCUUGAAUGGGCCCUGGAGAAUGUAGAAAUCGGACAGCAUCAGAUUUCAGAUGGAAGAGGUAAUCUCCACAAGGGAUCCUACUGGAUAAAUGAUGGUACUUGGAAAACAGAUAACAGGCAUAAUUAGUGGUUUCAAAGAGGGCAUGUUACGUAUGCAAAUGGACUUCUUGGGCCAUGAGAAGCCACACUGCUCAGUCUGCUGUCAACCUAGGCUACCUGGAAUUGUCCCCUUCUGGUUUUCCUCUGGGCCAGUCUCCUGGCUGAUUCAAACUGAUCGAACAGCAUUCAAGAAACUGCUCCAGAUGACUGGAAAGUGUAACUGAUGUUUUCUUCAUAAACCAGAGUUGCAAUUCUGUAUCUCGGGGGACUAAUAUUUUGACGCUUCAGGGUGUUAUUCUGUCUGUGUCUGGCUGCUACACAGAAGGCUGCCAGAACCAUCCUCCCAACCUCCCACCCCCACCCCCACCCCGGUCUAAUAGCCUCAAGGCAACAGCUAGCAUCAAUUAUGGCUGAAGAAUAAGCAAUCAACCCACAAGAAGCAAUUCAAAUGAAAGAUAAAAUUGUUUCUGGAUAUUCUAUACUAUCCAAACUUUGCUCUACAAAGAGACUGGAGACCACUGCAUUCUUCAGGGUGACUCUGGGCACCAUUAAAUCCCUUCCCUGGCCUUCCACUGUCUAAGUAAAACCCCACCAUGGUCUGAAAGACCCACUGUCAAACAGCUACAGCCCUCCCUCCCCCAUCCUCACCUCAUCUGACCAUCUCCUGGGGAGGAGCAGAGAAUUCUUUUAGCAGAGUGGACUAAGGUCUCCCACGCUGGCUUGCUUGCCCUGGCCACCUGUUCCCUGGUUAGAGAAACCGUCCUCCCCACCAGCCUUCUGUUGCUUGUCUCAGACUAAUGAUGAUGUAUGGGGCGAUAUGUUCUUCCUAAUUAUGAAAAGUGCUGUCCAUUGGUUGCAAGAUUUUUAUUUGAUAUUUUCUCAGAAUCUUGGCUAGCCUCUGUGCCUUGGGGCCCUUCAGUAAAAUUAGAUCUCAGAGCCCCCAUAUGGGAUGUGACACACAGCUUUUAACCAGGAGCUCUUACUUAAAAAGGAGAAGUGAGUCUCCACAGAUAGAAUUUUCCACUCUGCAACCCACAUCCCAACCAAGCCUGAGCUUCCAGACCUGAGGAGUCAAUCCCGGAGGCUACCACUGUUACCAAUCCACUUCAACUGAGCCCGAGCUUCCAGACCUGAGAAGUCAAUCCCCGAGGUACCUCAGCUCCCCCUGACACCAUACCAUUGACCUCUGUUACUUCCCUGUGGAUUCUUUUUGUCUUCUGCUCCUUCAUACCGCGACACCCCAACCAGUGUCUGUGGGUUAAUUCCAACCCCCAGCAUCAUGUGACAAUGAUGUCUCCUCUGCUCCCUUAUUUUCAUCAGAUCUCUCUGACAGCUUGUGUCUCAAUCCACACCCAUGUAUGUGUCUAUGCUACAACUUUAGGCUCUCGUGAGGUCUCACUUGGAAUACAGAGUAGGUUUCAGCUCCUUCCUAGGUGCAGCUGCCCUCCUGGUUUCCCCGAACUCUUCCCCAUUUAUUUCUAUACUCUCCCUUCUGGAUACCUGCCCUAAAGUGCUGGGACAGUUAACACAGUCCACAUGACAGGAUCUAAGGUUGCCCAGGAGAUGAACCUCUGGGCUUGUCUGUGACAGACUUUCCACAUUGAGUGAACUGAGGUCGGCAAGCAACACCCUUCAUCUCUCUGUGCUUCCUGGAGGCUGAAGUGAUGUGAGCAGCUGCCUCAGUCUCUUGCUGCCAUGAGUUCUCCCUCCCACCCCCUGGCCCCCGCCCCACAGAGUGUGCUCUCAAACUAUGGGGCAGAGUGAACCCUUCCUUAAAUAGAUCUUUUAGGUCUUUUGUCAAGUAAAAUAAAAGGAAGUGCUACAUGCACAAUGCGCCAUCGGGUACUUCCUUCCAACAUUUUAGUUCCUCUGCCUUUAGAUGGCAUCUAGAUCAUUAGAUAAGGAUUCCAGGGGUGGAGUGGGGGUAGUAAUUUCCUAUAAGUAACCGUGAUUCAUCCUUGGAAAGAUAUGUUUCCAACCUUGUGCUACUCCAAACUCCAAAUUCCUCAAACUCAACUCUCCUCAUAAGGUCACUUUGGGUGUGUGUGUUAUAUGUGUGUAUGCUGUAUGUGGUGUGUGCAUGUAGAGUGAAUGUGGGGUGUGUGUAUGGUGUGUAUGUUCUAUGUGUGGGGUAUGUGUGUGCAUGGUAUAUAGUAUGUAUGUGGUAUGUGUAUGUAAUGUGUGUGUGUUUGUGUCUGCUGUAUAUGUGUGUGUGUGUGUGUGUGUGUGGUAUGGGAUGUGUUUGUGUAUAGUGGGUAUGCCGUGUGUGGUGUGUGUAUGUGGUGUGUCUGUGUGUCUAUGUGUGUGGUGUGGAGUUUGUGUGUAUGGUAGGUAUGCUGUGUGUGUAUGUUGUGUGGAGUAUGAGGUGUGUAUGUGGUGUAUGUAUGUCUGGUAUGUGGUGUGUACAUGGUAUGAGGGAUGUAUGUAUAUGUAGUGUAUUAUGGUGUGUGGCAUUGUGUGCUGUGGUGUGUGUGUGUGUGUUCUGUUACUACUCUGUGAAUCUUUGGUGCUUUGUGUUUGGUGAUAAAUAAAUCAAGGAUACAAUUUGCGAACAUAGUCUGUCAUCCUGCCUGAACGCCAAGGGUGUGGCUGGAUCCGACACUAGUGUUUAGUUGCUGCUGAAAGUCACAAGCGCCUGCCUUUAUUUUAACAAUGAAACUGUUCCUGCAUGCUGGGCAGAAAGCUAUGAACCAGUAAUUAAAAUUGAUUUUCAUUUCAUUCAUACAGAAAGACAAACAUUUGCUUUCACUCAGAUCAAGACGUUCCAUCCCUGGCCUCUUCAUGACCCCAUCCUCUGAAUAGCAGGAUGUCCUCACAGCUAUGAAGACAGGUAAGCUGUUUCAAACCACAACUCUGUAGUCACAGUUUCUAUUAAGACAACUCAGCCCUUCAAUCCCCCUUGUCUCUGUGCUCAGAAGGCCAAGUCCGCCUCCACCUAUAACUCAAGAGUUAUAACUCAGCGAGGAGGAUGGCCACCCUCUCUACUGGGCUAGUCAGCCAAUCACUGUUCUCUAUGACAGAUGUCAAAGCAAGGCCCCUCACCACAGCGUACCACUGGUGUUCUGUGACACACACCAUGGUUUCCUUCAUUAGUUCCUGGAAGAAAUGAACGCUUUAGACUCUUUAAGGGGCUUUCUUGGCUGUUUGAAUCACAUGAAAGCAAUAAUUCCUCCGUUCCACUGUUCAAGAAAGUUCCCAGAAUCUGAGGUUUAUUUCAACACAGGAAACUAGAGAUGUCAGAUUAGUGUUAAGUCUGCUGACCAUGGCUAGUAGAAUGGGUGACCCCACGAAGGAGUGGCCUUCCUGUUCUAAAAGUUUCAAACAGAUGCUGUUAACAUUGACUAUGCCAGGGAGAAGACUCCGCCCUGGAGAGGCCUUUGCAAAGUGGUGGAAACAAGAGGCCGCCUGCCAUCAGGACAAGUUCACUCUGGAGACAUGAUGACCCCAAGAGGUUCCAUCACUCGUGGCAAAAUCAACUUUGACUUAAAUAAUUUUCAAAAGGCUAUACAGUCUCUGCUGGAACAAGACUGAUCUGUUUCAGCUUUCUGCAAGCUACUACUUUAGACACAAUUCAGAUGAUCACUCCUGAAUUUGAAUUUAUCACAACAGCACUAAAACCAUGUUGGUAUUCGGUGUUGGAUUGGUUGAUCUAAAACAGUUUGGCUCCAGAUUAUAUCAUUCUGUCAAACUUUGCGUUUCUAAACUCUAUCUCACUUUCCAUAGGUUACAUUACAGCUACCUGCACAGUGUUUGGGAUAGAGAAGGCGUUCUGUGAUCGGUAUUGAAUACUGAGCAUUUUCUUACCCCAAGAGUAACGAAAAAGACAAAGACAUCUCCCUAUCCAGAGAACAUGCUUCCUUUAGGUCUUCUUUACUGCCCCUUCCACUCCGCCACCCACAAGGACACUGUAAGGAUUCCAAGAACAUGGUCACACAACUCCUAACUCUCCAAGAACAUACACCAAAGGAUGAACUGCAACUGUUAACAGUAAAACACAUACAUCUAUGAAACUCAGAAACAGGUUUAGAUUUUCUUCUUUACCCUUUAUCAUUUUAACGACUAUUUCUUUGGGCCAGUGAAAUAGUUCAGUGAGUAAGGGCUGUGUCCUGCCGCCCUGAUGGCCUGAGUCCAAUUUCCAGAACCAAAGUGGCAAAGGAAGGAAACAGACUCCUGUUUGUUGUCCUCUGACCUCCACAUGCGUGUGUGAUCACACACACACAUACACAGAAAUAUACAUAUACACAGUCACACCCACAAAGGUACACACAACACACUUAUAUACACACACACACUCACACACACGUAUGUGCUCAUACAUGCUCAUGUACACAUACAAUCAAUGUAAUUUUUUAAAGUUUCUGAAAUGGAAAUUUAUAACCCACAUUAUACAAACAUAAAGAGAGGGGAAGAAACUCUGGCAGCAUCUCCAUAGCAACAGCGCAGUGUCUCUGUAAAGAUGGAAUGAAGGGUUAUCAUUCCUUCUUCCUGAGUGAAUAAAACCAUGACAAUAUGACACAAUUUAUAACCUCACCCAAAGGACUGGGCAGAGGAGACGUUUAAGUCCCAUCUUGGUUCUCCCUUUACAGUGCUGUGUUCACAGAGCCCUGCUCCCUCAGAAAUGAGUGCCGUGUUGACACAGAAUAUGACACUGUUGGGGGUAGGGGUGGUGAACAACCAGCUCCGGGCAUCGAAGGAACAGGAAGGCAGCCAGGGUUCUGUUGGUGGGAUUAUAUUACCUUUGUCCAAGGUUCUAGCAUAGGGCUCAAAGCCCUAGCAAGGACCUAGAGGGCAGUUCCACUCACCAGAUCUGUUUGCCACUUAAGCGAUUGUGGGAAGCGAAGAUUUCAUGAGCUCCUGGACUAUGACUGGGCUGGGCAAUUCUGAGGUUUGUUCGAUGUCUAAAGUGGCCAGAAGCACAAACGAACAAGAAAGCCUAUUUCCCCACGAGUUCCCUGUAAUUCCCUCCUGAUCUCUCCACAUUGAUCAGUGGGGAAAGAUGCUCACUUCUACAAAAGUUAGUUAACUUUCUGUAUGAUGGCUGAGAUCAGCAGACUCUCUUCACAUGAUGUGACUGGCUAUUUCACUUUCUCCUAGUGAGUUUAAGGUAUUAGGUCAGUGCCGAGAAUUGUUCAUUUGAUAUCUCCGUGAUUCCUCGCCAGUUUCAGAGACCAACAAUACCUUUGACAAGCUGAAAAAGUCCUUAGCUGCCUGCUGUCUCUGCAACAAAUUUCCUUCAUCAACUAAUUCACUAAUUUGGGCCUUCUCGAGAACUCAGCUAAUUUGUAAGAACAGGUGGCUCAUCCAUAAGUGUUCAAUAAAGAUUCACACAUGAUUACCCAGACAGCACUGCCUUAAAAACAAACGAGGAGAUAAAUGCGCGUAUUCACAGAGCAGCUAAAGAGACAGCCCAGAGAUCCUUCAGCAGCUAACAGUGUACAUCUGGCGAUCUGACAGAACUCUUUCCAAAACUGGUGACAGAGGAGAAGAAGCAGGUGACAUAAGGACUUGAAGCCUCAGUCAUGUGGACAAUUAAUUCUUGGGAAGAAUAUCAUGAGUAAUGGAUACUAAGCAAUCAAAACCUGCUACUUACAGGUUCAGUCUUGUUUGCUAUCUGUUCUUGUCUUUACCUGGUCUCAAGGUCACUGACUGAUGCCACGUCCACACCACACUAAACAGCAGUGAAUACGUGCGGGCUCCAAUUCUGUCAGUGAGGUGAACUGUCUCCACGUAUUAUAAAAAGAGGGAAGGGCACAUUGUGUGGCUAGGAAAAUGUUGUUCUGUUGUUCAUAAACUAAACUGGAAGCUGGGACUUUAUGGAAACAGGUAAGAAAAAGAUAGCUCAUAAGAAUCAUAAAUGUGAUCAUUUCACCAGUUGCUUGGAUGUAAAUACCCAAUAAAAUGAAGCAUGAAAGAUGGGAAGAAAGAAUGAAAGAAAGAACAAAUGAACAGAAAGAAGGAAGGAACGAGAGAGAG